UACGUAGGUGGCAAGCGUUGUCCGGAUUUAUUGGGUUUAAAGGGUGCGUAGGCGGCCCUGUAAGUCAGUGGUGAAAUACGGCAGCUCAACUGUCGAGGUGCCAUUGAUACUGCAGGGCUUGAGUACAGACGAGGUAGGCGGAAUUGACGGUGUAGCGGUGAAAUGCUUAGAUAUGACAUAGAACACCCAUUGCGAAGGCAGCUUACUACACGAUCAUUGACGCUGAGGCACGAAAGCGUGGGGAGCAAACAGG
rnacentral:rRNA from 1 species